rnacentral:rRNA from 1 species
CCUACGGUAGGCAGCAGUGGGGGAUAUUGCACAAUGGGGGGAACCCUGAUGCAGCGACGCCGCGUGGGUGAAGGAGUACUUCGGCAUGUAAAGCCCUAUCGGCCGGGAAGAAGCAAGACGGUACCUGACUAAGAAGCCCCGGCUAACUACGUUCCAGCAGCCGCGGUAAUACGUAGGGGCCGAGCGUUAUCCGGAUUCACUGGGUGUAAAGGGAGCGUAGACGGCCAUGCAAGCCAGGGGUGAAAGCCCGGGGCACAACCCCGGGACUGCCCUUGGAACUGUGCGGCUAGAGUGCGGGAGGGGUAGGCGGAAUUCGUGGUGUAGCGGUGAAAUGCUUAGAUAUCACGAAGAACCCCGAUUGCGAAGGCAGCUUACUAAACUGUGACUGACAUUGAUGCUCGAAAGUGUGGGUAUCAAACAGGAUUAGAUACCCGAGUAGUC